GGGCUUGAUCCGGUCCCUGGUACCGGCGGGAGGUGGAGGGAGGGUUAGCAGUAUGCAUAGGUGGGCGGGAUGGACGGAGGGCAUGGCGGGGAUGAGGUGGGUUGUCUUGGAGGUCAUCAGUAUCAUACCCUUCAGCAGAGGGCGAGGUGUAUGCACGGGCUUCUGCUGCGGGGAGCCGGGCUUGGGAAUACUCAGGAGGCGGAGGGGGAGGAGGUGGAGGAGGUAACUGAGGCAACUGUGGAUGGGGUAGGGCAGGGAGGUAACCUGUGGAGGGGAAAUUGUAACUGGUGACAUGUGGAUUUUGGUACCGGGGAGUCUGCUGGCGGAACACUCUAGGGUGUGGGCAAUCUCUUCUAAAGUGACCUGGCUGAUUACAAUUAAAGCAGGUCCGGAUUGUCGUGACAGACCGAUCACGGGAGAAAGGGAUUGGUGCAGGCAGUGUCUGGGGGGGCUGGGUGUACUGUUGGGGAAACAUCUGAGGACCCUGGCUUGGACCAGCGAAUGGGGUGGAGGUAGCAUACAUCAGAGGACUGGGUCUACGUAGUGUAGGUAGCAAAACAGAUUCUAAGCCCUUGGCAACUAGCAAAAGAGUAUCCAGUGGAAUAAUUCUAUACUCAGGCCGAGCUAAGAUUAACCCCUUACGGAUGUGUUCUCUAAGCCCUGCCACAAAGGCUGCAGAUAGCAUCUGGGUGUGUGCUUUGUUGUAAGUACUAAACCCUAAGUCUGAAAAAGUCUGAGUCAACCUAGAGUGAUACUUCUCAACUGUCUCAAGUUUGUCCUGUAAAAUGUCAUUAAUGCAAGUAGCCUGAUCUGCUAGUUUAUCCUGUGCCCAAGCUCGAAGCUGUUCACAAAAGACUUCACCAGAACGAAAGUCAGUAUCAGAAGUAAGUGGAGCGUCAUUAAAACUCCGUUCCAUGAUUGGCCAGUAUGCAUCACCGGCUUUGAUUUCACAUAGACUAAUAAGAUCCCGCCAAGCAGCGGAGUACGUUUUACGGAUCUGAGCCAUCCGGCGGAAAAAGGGCAUAGGGUGUUUUUCAGGAUCAGGGAGUGAGGUCACAAGGGUAGCAGCUUGGGAAGGGUUAAAGGUAACAUACAUAGGCGGUGCUCCAUCCGCACCAUGGUUGAUCGGGAUGUAACCUUGAGGGAUAGUGUGCUGUUGGGGGAGCCUAUUCACCCCCACCUGGGGCGAAUUCUGGUCAACCGCAACAACCUCUUCGGGCAACACUGGGCCACGGCGGAGGGUAGCCUCAGGGGUAGCUGUAGCGGGGACAACAGGGAGGGCCGUGGUAGGUAAGGUAACUGGGUGGAAACCCGAAGCCUGGGGGGAGGCACCCAUUGCAUAGGGCUGGUCAGAUGUCCC